rnacentral:sRNA from 2 species
UAUUCUGCCCCACGGGGAAGGAUGAGAAGCUUCGACCAAGGUUCGACUCGAGCGAAGCGAGAGAACGUUGCCGCAGGCAACGGCCCGAAGGGCGAGGAGCGAUAGCGACGAGUUAUCCUUCCCCCACCACCA